rnacentral:rRNA from 1 species
AGAGUGAACGCUGGCGGCAGGCCUAACACAUGCAAGUCGAACGGCAGCACAGGAGAGCUUGCUCUCUGGGUGGCGAGUGGCGGACGGGUGAGGAUAACGUCGGAAUCUGCCUAUUUGUGGGGGAUAACGUAGGGAAACUUACGCUAAUACCGCAUACGACCUACGGGUGAAAGCGGAGGACCUUCGGGCUUCGCGCAGAUAGAUGAGCCGACGUCGGAUUAGCUAGU